rnacentral:rRNA from 1 species
UAAUGGGACUGCCGGUGACAAACCGGAGGAAGGUGAGGAUGACGUCAAGUCCUCAUGGCCCUUAUAGGUGGGGCUACACACGUCAUACAAUGGCUGGUACAAAGGGUUGCCAACCCGCGAGGGGGAGCUAAUCCCAUAAAGCCAGUCGUAGUCCGGAUCGCAGUCUGCAACUCGACUGCGUGAAGUCGGAAUCGCUAGUAAUCGUGGAUCAGAAUGUCACGGUGAAUACGUUCCCGGGUCUUGUACACACCGCCCGUCACACCAUGGGAGCGGGUCUCGCCAGAAGUAGGUAGCCUAACCGCAAGGAGGGCGCUUACCACGGCGGGGUUCGUGACUGGGGUGAAGUCGUAACAAGGUAACCA